AUGACUCACAAGGAGGGGUGUACGUGUAUCACCCUUGGAAACUAUACUUAUAUAAUAAGGUAUAGUGCAAAAGACAUUCUCCCAAUGCAUUUGUUGAAAAAUCAGUUUUCAAGAACAAGAAAACCAAUGUAUGGAUUUUCGGCCAGGUUGGUUUUUCAAGGAGAAAAACUGAUUUUUGUGCUUAAUAAAAAGAUUCUAGAGUGAAGACAUUCAAUAAUGUGUAGUAGUUGGUGGAGAAGCAAGAACAAAACAAACCAAAAGAAGAGUGAGUUGUUGAAGGAGAAAGUCACGGCCAAGUUGAAGGAAAAAAAAUAAUAAUUCAGUUUUGUUGUUCAAUAAAAUUCUAUGGAGAAGACAAGGAUAAGGAGGAAGAGAAGCAAGAAUAAGUAUAAGAAUUUAAGACACAAAUUGGAUCCAAGUAUUCAAGGAUAAGUGUUUUUGGGAGGCAAGUACAAGUUAUAAUACGACUAAACGCAAAAGGUACAGAUGCACAGUUCGGUAAUCCACCAGUUUAGGACACCCUCUUCUGCAGUUUGGAGUGCUCUUCUUAUUCCGGAGCCUACAUGUUGGUAUAUAUUCGUUCGUUGCAUAUGUAUAUAUUUGUUCAGGGGUACGGCGGGGCCCUGUCCCGCCAUAUGAUUCGGUUGGUCUGUUUAGAGGUCUGUAGAUGUAUUUGUGGGUGUGUGUGCCUACUUCUGUUCA